GAAGAUGAUGAUAUUAGUUGUCGCCCCAGUCUUACAAGCAUCUCUGUAUUUGAUGCUUCAUGGUGAUUGACAUACUCUUUUUCUGAUUC